GACGAACGCUGGCGGCGUGCUUAACACAUGCAAGUCGAACGAAGUGGCGAACGGGUGCGUAAUACGUGGGUAACCUGCCCUCCUUUUUGGGAUAAGCCUUGGAAACGGGGUCUAAUCCCGAAUAAAGGGGGAUGGGCUCGCGGCCUAUCAGCUUGUUGGUGGGGUGAUGGCCUACCAAGGCGGUGCCGGGUAGCCGGACUGUGAGGGUGAAUGGACACAUUGGGACUGAGAUACGGCGCAGACUCCGACGGGGGGGAGCAGUGGGGGAUAUGGCACAAUGGGCGAAAGGCUGAUGCAGGGACGCCGCGUGGGGGAUGAAGGCUUUCGGGUUGUAAACCUAUUUCGCUAUCGAAGGGGUAGGUGGAGAAGAAGCGCCGGCUAACUACGUGCCAGCAGCCGCGGUAAUAC
rnacentral:rRNA from 1 species